rnacentral:lncRNA from 1 species
AUUGGGGUCUGCUAUUUCACAGCCUACACUUCAGGCCAUUCUGCUCCACUGAAACAUUCCCAGUGCUGUAAAGUGCACAGUAUGAAGCAUUUUCAUUACCCGUCUGAGUAGAAGGACACCAACAAAGGCAUUCUCCAGUCCAAAGAUGGUGGAAUCAUUGUACAAUGGCUGGCUUCUCACAUCAAGUGCACAAAGGAAGAAUUCCCUCUCAUGGUUACUCUGAUUUCUAUACAUUCUCAAGAUGAAAGCUUGAUUCAUCAGGGAAUCCUUGAAAAGUAC